UACGAAGGGGGCUAGCGUUGCUCGGAAUCACUGGGCGUAAAGGGUGCGUAGGCGGGUCUUUUAAGUCAGGGGUGAAAUCCUGGAGCUCAACUCCAGAACUGCCUUUGAUACUGAAGAUCUUGAGUUCGGGAGAGGUGAGUGGAACUGCGAGUGUAGAGGUGAAAUUCGUAGAUAUUCGCAAGAACACCAGUGGCGAAGGCGGCUCACUGGCUCGAUACUGACGCUGAGGUGCGAAAGCGUGGGGAGCAAACAGG
rnacentral:rRNA from 1 species